ACCCACGCGGCGCAGCUCCCAAAGUUGCAGACAGCCCGGCGAACCGCGCAAUGCGCUUCUUCUGCCUGCAGCAGAGAAAAGGAAAGAAAACUCCGCAGGGGCUCCGUUGGCUUCUCCACGAGUGACAACCAUGUUUUCCCAGAUAGAAGACCGGAGCCCUGCUCCUUUGCGAUCCGCCGAGGGCUGCAGAGAGCAUCCUCAUCCAUUUGGGCACCCCUGCCCAGGAAGAGCCCGGCCAUCCCUUUCCGGACUGGAUCCUUAAGAGGUGAAUUUUCUUCCGUGGAUUCCGAUUUGCUCCGUCUGACCAGCCUAGGCAAUCCAGCAUCGCGUGGUACCAGUGCCGCUGGGCACACUGGCUUCACGCCGGCUCCGCCUCACCAGCAAGCGCAUUCCCAGAUAAAACACUAACUCAGAGAAGAAAUUUAACUGCAAAUUUGGUUAAUGACCAUGGAUUCCUAAUGAGAAGAAAAGCUAGACACUGAGAGUUUAGAAUAAACUCAAGAAUCUUAAAAAUUUUCCCAUGGAACUGCCUUUGCACCUCUAUAAAAAAUUAAUUGACCAUAUGUUAAAGCUCUCUGCAACGGAUGCAUCGCUGGUGCUCUGCUCAGUUCCUCUUUACCUGCUUCUGCACUCAUGCUGUGAUGGGAACUAACCGCCUGAAGUCUGCAUCAUGACUUGAUGGUUACCCAGGGGUUUAUGUGUGUCCAACUGAACACCGUGGUUCUGGGAUUGAGGAUCCGCACAAACACAGGCAGGAGUUUGGAGGGAAGAAGGGGGCACAGCAGGAGUGUAUCUCAAGCCCACCUCAAAGGCAGCAGAGCAUUCCAAGUUGCUGAAAACCUGUGCAAAUGGGGCCUCUAAAACAAACAUUGUACUGUGAGCUCUCGGGGAAGGGGCAGGAAAAGGAUGUUGAUAAUUAAGGGGGCAUUUUCUUGAGGCGGCAGAUGAGGAGGGAGGCUUACUAUUUUUAAUCCCCUCAGCCCCAGGACAUGAUAAUCAGAGGAGAUCAUGUCCAAUCUUGAAUCAAUUCCCUGUUCAAAAAGAGGUGCUAAUACCCCAGGGACCAGACUCUGAAAAUACCAUGAAAAUACUCUGAAAAUACCGUGCUGGUCAUUCCUGAGUCCCUGUUCUAUGCCCUACAACAUAUUA
ensembl:lncRNA DUBR DPPA2 upstream binding RNA